UUUAGCGGACGGGCAAUCGCCGUAUAUGUCGUCGAUAUGCGGAGGAAAGUCCGAACUUUACUUUGGCUUAAAUGCCAAAAAAACGGUAGCAGGUAACCCCUGCCGAGCGUAAGCUCAGAGGUGCGAACAGAGACGUUCUUAGAGGAGACUCUAAGAGUAUCCUCCCGACAAAAUCGGAGGAUAAGUUUUUGCAGAAAUGCAGAAAUUGAAACGGCUAAAUCCUUACCGGAAAGCAAGGCGGUUUUUGCGCCGCUUGACCGUUAAGAGCGAUCUUGACGGCAGAGAAAUGAUUGCCAACCUGAUUUAUCAGGGAACAGAAUUCGGUGUAUAGUCCGCUAAAACUU
rnacentral:RNase_P_RNA from 1 species